GGAUCGAUUAGCUCAGUCAGUUGAGCGUGGUGCUAACAAUGCCAAGGACACGGGUUCAAUUCCCAUUCGGUCCC
rnacentral:tRNA from 1 species